rnacentral:ncRNA from 1 species
AUAAAUAAAUUUUUUAUGGUUUUAAUAAUUUAUUUAAAAUUUAUUUUACAUAUAAAUUUUAGUGUUAAUUUUACUUUAUUUUAAUAAUAAUUUAAUUUAUUUGUAGUAAUUAAUAUUAAAUAAUUUAAGAAAUUAAGAUUUAGUAAUAUUUGAAUUAAUAACAAAUUUUGUGCCAGCAGUUGCGGUUAAACAAAAGUUAAUUUAAAUUUUAUUAGUAAUUAAUAAAUAAUUGAAAAUUUAUAAUAAUUUUAUUAUAAAUUAAAAUAAUAUAAAUUUUAAAUUAUUAGGUGAAAUUUUAAUUUAAUUUAAUAUUAUAAUGUAUUUAUGAUUUAAUAAAUUUUAUAAAAAACUAGGAUUAGAUACCCUAUUAUUAAAAUUUAAAUUGAAAAUACUAAAAUAGUAGGUAAUUAUUUAUUGAAACUUAAAUAAUUUGGCGGUAUUUUAGUUCAUUUAGAGGAAUCUGUUUAUUAAUUGAUAAUCCACGAAUAAAUUUACUUAAUUUUUUUAUUUUGUAUAUCGUUGUUAAAAAAAUAUUUUUUAAUAAUAAUAAUAUUUAAAAAUUUAAAUUAAAAAUUAAAUCAGAUCAAGAUGCAGAUUAUAAUUAAGAAUAUAAUGGAUUACAAUAAAUUUAUUUAAAUGGAUAUUAAUUUGUAAAAAUUAAUUAAAGGUGGAUUUAAAUGUAAUUUUAUUUAGUUUAAUAAAAUGAUUGAAAAUUGAAAUAUGUACAUAUUGCCCGUCGCUUUCAUAUAUUAAAAAUUGGAAUAAGUCGUAACAAAGUAGAGGUACUGGAAAGUGUUUCUAGAAAGAACAAA